ensembl:lincRNA
AGUAUUUACAGAUGUGAAACAAAAGGAAUAGUUUCCAAAAUGGUUUGGGAAGUAUAGAACAGCUAGCUGAUAAGACAUUCAGUGAUACAGCUUUUGUGUCUGCUGAAGGAAUGAGUUCAUGUGUUUUCACUAUUCUUGAUGUAGGGAUAAGGUAUAGGAAAAGGACAGGAAAAAUUUUAAUUUUUGUCAAACAUCAGUGGGAUGAAAAAUAGCUCACAAAUAUCUUGUAAAGGAGUCUGAGGUCACACAAAAUGUAGAGGGCCCUGUCUCAAAGAAUGUAUACAUUCUUUUAGAUCUGCCAACAAGCCUUACAAAUCAGUUCCAAGCCUCAAAAGAGGCAGUCUAGGCGUUUUUGCCAGUGGAGGAGUAGAUUCCUUUUCCUGCAAACAGCAACAUAGCUGACAUUGUUCCCUCCUUCAUGAAGACUUCCACCCCCUUGACCUUUACAGUUGCCCUUCUGAAAGACAGUGCACUGUUUCUUGCAUAAUUAUUACCUGUUCAGCUACACUAUUACCCUGCUUGGCUCAUUGCUCUGGAUGGAAGACUUUCUCCUGAGAAGCACAGGAUCAGAACAGCUAGACGUGGCCAGAGUUGCCUGUGACAUUCCUUCACAUUUCAGGGUGAACUGCAGAGAAAAGACAGCAAUGUUGAUUUGUCUUGCAGAGUGGCCAGUGCCCCAGACCUGGUAAGAGCAUCUCAACAGCCUCCCUCCUCUCCCUCUUCCUUCUCUUUACUACAUCCUACCUAAUGAUCAGACC